GAUGAACGCUGGCGGCGUGCCUAAUACAUGCAAGUCGAGCGAACGGACGAGAAGCUUGCUUCUCUGAUGUUAGCGGCGGACGGGUGAGUAACACGUGGAUAACCUACCUAUAAGACUGGGAUAACUUCGGGAAACCGGAGCUAAUACCGGAUGAUAUUUUGAACCGCAUGGUUCAAAAGUGAAAGACGGUCUUGCUGUCACUUAUAGAUGGAUCCGCGCUGCAUUAGCUAGUUGGUAAGGUAACGGCUUACCAAGGCAACGAUGCAUAGCCGACCUGAGAGGGUGAUCGGCCACCCUGGAACUGAGACACGGUCCAGACUCCUACGGUAGGCAGCAGUAGGGAAUCUUCCGCAAUGGGCGAAAGCCUGACGGAGCAACGCCGCGUGAGUGAUGAAGGUCUUCGGACCGUAAAACUCUGUUAUUAGGGAAGAACAUAUGUGUAAGUAACUGUGCACAUCUUGACGGUACCUAAUCAGAAAGCCACGGCUAACUACGUG
rnacentral:rRNA from 1 species